rnacentral:misc_RNA from 1 species
UCACAUUCUAUGCUUACACCAGCUCCCAUGGGAACUACUAGGCCUACCUUUCCUCAGGACUUUUUGGUUCAAAUGGCACCCCAUAUAAGCAACCAAGUGGGUGCAAACUCUAUGUAUCCACAGAGUCUUAAUAACCAACAUCUUCAUCACCAGUAUCAUCAGGUUCCUGACUAUGGACUUUUGCAAGACAUAGCCCCUUCCAUGUUCUUUAAACAAGAGCCCUGAAAUUA